rnacentral:misc_RNA from 1 species
GUAGGUGAACCUGCGGAAGGAUCAUUACAGAGAACUUGCCCUUCGGGGUAAAUCUCCCACCCUUUGUUUACAUUACCUUUGUUGCUUUGGCGGGCCCGUCUUACGACCACCGGCUUCGGCUGGUCAGUGCCCGCCAGAGGACCCCAAACUCUUUUGUUAAUGUCGUCUGAGUACUAUAUAAUAGUUAAAACUUUCAACAACGGAUCUCUUGGUUCUG